rnacentral:rRNA from 1 species
UACGUAGGGUGCGAGCGUUGUCCGGAAUUAUUGGGCGUAAAGGGCUCGUAGGCGGUUUGUCGCGUCGGGAGUGAAAACCUUGGGCUUAACUCAGGGCUUGCUUUCGAUACGGGCAGACUAGAGGUAUGCAGGGGAGAACGGAAUUCCUGGUGUAGCGGUGAAAUGCGCAGAUAUCAGGAGGAACACCGGUGGCGAAGGCGGUUCUCUAGGCAUGAUCUGACGCUGAGGCACGAAGGUCAGGGGAGCAAACGGG